rnacentral:rRNA from 1 species
UACAGGGGGGGCAAGCGUUGUUCGGAAUUACUGGGCGUAAAGGGUCUGUAGGUGGCCAACUAAGUCAGACGUGAAAUCCCUCAGCUUAACUGGGGAACUGCGUCUGAUACUGGAUGGCUCGAGUGUGGGAGAGGAAUGCGGAAUUCCAGGUGUAGCGGUGAAAUGCGUAGAUAUCUGGAGGAACACCGGUGGCGAAGGCGGCAUCCUGGACCAACACUGACGCUGAGUGAGCGAAAGCCAGGGGAGCAAACGGG